CGGAUUUGAGAGGUGGUGCUUCAUUUCCUCAAGAGCCUGCUGGUGCGGUUCCUCCCAUUAAUUGGCAACUUGUGCUCCACCAGUUCUCUGUCCAACCCAGGCAUUUCAUGAUAAUGCCAUGCGAAACAGUCUUUGAAAUCAUGCAGAAGUGCAAUGAUUUCAUCCUUUAAUGAUUCUUCCAGUAACAUGCUGAUGAAAGUAGGUCUAGGGUCC
rnacentral:lncRNA from 1 species